AAAGCACGCUGAUGCGUCAAUGUAUUAGAUUUUGCAACAGAAUUGCUACUAAUGGAAGCCCUUGAGAGAGUAGGGGCUACUGCAGAAAUACAUUUAUUCCGUUCCUCACUCACGUCUAUUUCAGACAAAAGACACACAAGGACACCUUGCCCUCCCAUCUGGUUUCUCUGGAAAGUAAGAGCAAGGCCGUCAAGGUGCGCAGUGACGCUAGCUGUCUCCAUGUUAUGAAUUGCGUGGACUGAGCAACGUUGUACCCCCACUAUCCUCAGGAUCAGCUUCACAGGACAGCAAGAACAGGUGGAGAUGAGCUUACUUUGGGAUCGUUUUUUUGUUUUCUGCUGGAUGAAAUAGUUCCCAUAAGAAAUGCAAUUCCCCUCAGCUCUCUCCCAGUGGUUCUCAUCAAACAACCAGGAAGACAGCCACUGAAGAGAAGACUGGAGGCUGAGGGUCCUCGCCACACCCAGACAGUCCUUUUCUCUAUUCUUCUGAAGGCAACUCUUGGAGGCAGACUUACUAUCCUUAAUAAAGUUC